rnacentral:rRNA from 1 species
UACGUAGGCGGCUUGGAAAGUUGGGUGUGAAAUCCCUCGGCUCAACCGAGGAACUGCACUCAAAACUGCCAAGCUUGAGGGAGAUAGAGGUGAGCGGAACUCAGGGUGGAGCGGUGGAAUGCGUUGAUAUCCUGGGGAACACCAGUUGCGAAGGCGGCUCACUGGGUCUCUUCUGACGCUGAGGUACGAAAGCUAGGGGAGCGAACAGGAUUAGAUACCCUGGUAGUCC